GACAUUGGUGCUGUCAUGCGAAGAUCUCCAUAAAUGCAACAACAUAUUUGUUGACAAAGGUAUAUCUUCAUAAAACCAUACUCUGCCACCCCAUAUCAGUAGUAGCAUUAUAAUCACAGCCUUGAAAUUCCAUUUGUGAAGAUAUAGGAUGGCACAGCUACACAAAUAAUUUCAGCACCAAUUGUGUUUUGCCUUCAGUUCUACUAUCUAGAGAAAAAAACGAAGAGAAAUAAAAUAAAUUAGGAGCAGCAAGUCACCAACACACCACCUGUUCACUCACCUACCCCGUUCUGCGCACCACCUGUCCACCCCCCUGCUGCGCUAAGCUAAACAACACACCGCGAAAGACUACCACCAUCUUCCGCCGACCGCCGGCCACCUCCGGCCUGCCUACGCGAGCUCCUCCCGACGGCGCCACCCCCCUCACCUCGACGCGGGAACACUGCCGUGGGAGGAGGAGGAGAUGGAGUUCCUGUACGAUUGUGCCGCCACCGCCACCGCCGUCGUCGCGGACGUGGCGGCCGCGCUCGCGGGCACCGCCGGUAUCCAGGCGUCCUCUCCCUCUGCCGUCGCGUCCAAGAGAGGUACCGGAGCGGCCAGCUGAAGAGGGCUCUGUGCGAGGCUGAAGCCAACGCCUUCAAGAAUUUACAGGUGUGCCUUUGAUUUGUUCAUUGAUGUUGAUAGCUAGUACAAUUGAUUGAAUACAUCUCCCGCCUCGCCUCCUCUGACACGUACGAUUCUAGCCAUCUCACUCAUGUUCUCGUGGUGCUGUGGGCCAACAUCGGUGGAGCUGCUGAUGGGGUGAGCAGAUUGGCCUUGCUCCUGAAUUCUGGCCGUGUUUGGGAUGGCCGGCGAAGAUGUCUAAUUCAGGUGCUUUGGGUGCCUCGGCUUCGGUUCCUUUGCUUCCCUUAAUGUUCUGGUGGCCGUGCGUUUCCUCGGCUUCUUCUGCCUGUGUUGAGCUUUCCUGAAUCCCUGGCGAGCAAUUGUUUUUUCUAGAAUACUCAGUUCCUGGGUGGAUGCUUAUGAAUCAGAUAAGUGGACUUGGGCACUUGACUCUUUUUUAAUAGGAAAAAUAGUGAUUAAAUUCUUAUAAUUCAGGGCGACCCGGCAUUAUUUUCUAGUAAAAGGCAGCUUUUAUUAAUAUUGCUGUCUAGGUUGAUGAACUGGUGCAUUUGUUGUGCCUGAUAUGUAAUUUCUAAUUUUGAUAGCCUGACUGAUACAUUUCCACCCCUCAAUUCCUCUUGGUUAUGUGCACCGUGGCCUCUUAACUGAUAUAGUACUCUUGUUUCGUUGAUGAAAUGGAACAAAGAGGUGCAGCUCCUGUAUUCGAGAAAUGAAAAUCUUAUGGUUAUAUUGUACAUUGGUGCUACCACGUCAGGUAAGUGGUAGAUCCCUGCAUCCAAUACAAGUUUAGACAGUAAUACUGGUUAAAUUAAAUCAUGAUCAACAGUUAAAAUCUGCUACAAGUUAAGGUGAAUGGUCCCUUGAAUUGUAUGCCUGGUUCACAUGAUGAAUCCUUUGUGCAGGGAGUUCUAGUGAUGCAUUAUACAAGGAGCUAUAUGGCAUGCUUGCGCUGGGCCGUUGGUGCUUCGCCAAGGUGAAAGAGUUUACUACUUCCACAUGGACAUAUGGAACAGCUGCAGAAACUUGACAUACUGGACUGCUUCCUCCAACGUUGUGCUAAUGUCAACCUGGAAACGCAUAAAAUUGCUGUGUUAGAUGGACUCUCCAUUAUUCAGUAAGUGAAUCACUAACCAAUAAGUGAGAGCUUACUUUGGUUCCAUUGGGAAUCAGGUUCUGCAGUUCUCUCAAUUUCUCGUUGAUCCUCUCUCUUCUCCUCUGUAAGAAGCAUCACAAAUACCGUCAGAGAACAGAAAUAUUCAUAUUCCACGAUCAGAACAAGAGUAACAUAACCGUGUCCUAACCUUUGCACAAAGAGACUGCAAAUUCUUCGAAGGCCGCUUGCAACCUCUUGAAUUGUCACCCUGGUUCGGAACAAAGGAUUCCUCAGAUGCGUCAAUCAAAUCUUCUUCCGAGCUGCAGCAGGACGAAGAGCUCUGAUUGACAGUGUCACCAUUGGUCUCGUUAUCAGCUAGGCUUAAACACGGAGCAUCUGAUACCUGCAAACAAUUGCAUCAAUCAGAAUGUUAGAACAGUCGAAGGAUUUAUUUCAAGAGAGGAUGCACAACUUCGCAUUCACAAUAUCGUAGCCUUACCGAGGGAACAGUCCGGGAUUUCUUGCUAGUUCUCUUGAUCUGCUCAUCCAUAUGGGAUGUCCUCUUGUGACCAGUAACGGUCUGAUGCCGGUGAUCAAAGCAUAGGUCCAUGCCAGUGUUCACCAUUGGCGUUGUGGCAUGGCUCUCCAUGUCAAGAGGAAGGAACAAAUUACUAUGCACUGUGCUAGCUGUAACACAAGAAUUGUCACUGGUGUUUGGAGAGCACAGGUUGACAGCAGCAUCACUGUUGCUCCAGAACAUGGACUGCAGGUGAGCAAUCAUCUCAGACUCCUCGCUCCUCCCAUCGACAGAGCUCCAGAUAGCUGCGCACUUCGCCUCCAUUCUGUUGGGCUAAUGUCGAUCGGAACCUUCUACUGCAAUUUCUAAAACUUCUAAAAUCUAGUGCAAGGACUGUGGUAAUGUUGUCUUGUGAGUACAGAGCAGGUAGGGACAUGUACAUUUAUACUACGUUCCCAGAGAAUCUUUUCAGAUAUAUAUUUGACUGAGGUUACACCCUACUCUUAACUAGAGCAGAAUGACAACUAGGCAGGGUACUAGUUUAUUUCUUCGAGCAAUGACCCAUACCCUCAGGAUCUUCAACAUCAAAAACUAGAAAGAUUGUGUUGGGAAUCGUCUGCCCAUUGAGCAAUCUAAAGAGGCAAUAAUGUCAUACUGAUGCCUCCAGGGAAUGCCAAGAGAACAAUAAUACCAUAAGCUCAUGGUUUAAUACGAGAGAAUGGCAACAAUAAUUGCCACCAAGUGAUUCAUAUGAUCAGUUAUAAAGUUGCAAAAUUCCACAAGAUGAUAUUAGUCAAAAACAAAAAAUAUCUAAUAAAUGAUUAGGGGGUGGCCAGGAGUAAGAAAAUUUGGAGUGGACAUAGUCAUGGAGGAGAAGUGCUCGCAGAUCAUAAAUGGAAUAGAGUAGAUUAAGAUAAUAUCAACUUAGUUUGCAACUUCUUAUUUCUCUUUGUGAGAAUAAAACUUUGCAACAGUUGAUUCAAUAUGCAAGGGAAAUUUGUUACAUCAUGUGAUAUACUGUUGCGUGAAGGCUAUCUGUGAUCCACAUUUUGCGAGUACUUCAACUGUCACCUGUGCUUGCACUUUUACAUGGCAACCUUGCCAGUUGCCGCUGCUGAAACCAACCCAAAAAACGUAGGAGCACAUUUUUUUUAAUGAGAAUGCUAUAUUAAAUAGUUUGGAUGAAGUAAUGAAGUCCCUUAUUUCGAGUAUUAGGACAGCUCAAGACGUGCUUAAAUUCGUAUCAACUAUCAAGUAUGAUAAACGCGUUUUGUGCAAGGGUCAGCAUUCCAGCUGGUAUUAAUUAAGAUGCAGAAUGAUUGGCAACUAGAUUCAGAAAUCAGAAGAGAUUGCUUUGAAUAUGCACCUCCAAAUGGGCCAAGUUCAUUAUUGCCUUCACAACAUACAAUCUCCAGUUUGGUAGUACCCAUUGAAAGGAUCACACGGAAUAUACCAAAUACAAUCAUUUAUUAAACUAACUGUGAAUAAUUUCAACCAAUUAUGAAUAACAGUACCGGAGAUCCGUGCAAUACCUAUCUCAGAAGGUUGCAUAGUGGAAAAGAGAUCAUAAACUGCUGCAUAUGGAACUGGAAAACAGUACCGGAGAAGCUAAUAAUAAUGCAAUUGCCAACUUGCUUCGCCUUAGUAUAAGAUGCAGCACGUAAUGCGAGCAAGCUAUGCAAAUAACACUGAAGUCAUACAUUUUUGUGUGUACUAGUAUAAUUUAACUGUAUUAAUUCAACUUUAAGUAUGACCCUAGCUAAGAGUUAAUAUCAUUUCGACUUGCUAAUUUGAGAAAAGGAAAACAACUAAUCCCUUUGUUCACAAAUAUACGAUGCUCUUGACUUUUUGGCGAUUCAGAUGUACAUAGACAUGUUUUAGUGUGUCUGUCCACUCAUAUAAGAUGCUCUUAACUUUUUGCCAUUCGGAUGUGCAUAGACAUGUUUUAGUGUGUCUGUCCACUCAUUUCAGUCCUAAUGUAAUCCAUAUUAAAAUAUCCCAAACAUCCUAUAUUUAUAAGGGAGGGAGACAGGGAGUAUUAAAUUUCAAGGGUUAAUUAUCCUUUUGCCCUCAGUGGUGUCCAUGUGCUCAGUUUUGCCCUCAGAUGCGAAUUGUGCUCAGUUUUGCCCCUAGUCCGUGCGCACCGACUCGUUUCGUGAACUCUGCCGUCUCCGUCAGGUCAACCUUUUGACCCGGCCCUUACAGGUGGGACCAGGCGACAGAAACGGCCAAUUUUAUUCAGACCGUUGCACGCGUGGCUUGUGGGACCCAGCAGAGAGCCGUUGAGCAGAGAGCCGUUGGCAGGUGUGCUAUAUAAGCGGGCGACAGCGGCGGUGACCACGGCGACAGAGAGCACGGCAGUGACCACGGCGAGAGAGAGAGCACGGCGGCGGGAAGCUAGCUGUGGAGGGCGCGGCGGUGGGAAGCUAGCAGUGGAGGGCGCGGCGGCGUUGAGAUCCCUUCGGCUCCGAGCUCCAUGUCUUCCUCAAGCUCCCGCGCCACCUCGCGGAUGCAGAGCCGGGCGCGUGUGGACAUGCCUGUCUUCGUCUGUCCGCGGUGCCGGGCGGGCGUUGAUCGGAGGGUUUCUCAGACACCGAGGAACCAGAAUCGUCCAUUCUACGUGUGCAGCGAGAAUAGGGUGACAUGCUUCUUUCUUUGGGUCGAUGCUCUGGCCAAGACUCUGAUGAAUGAACUGCAAGAAGAGCAUGAAGAAUGGUUGCGCAUGCUGCCACGAACGGCAGUGGCCACACCACGAGCUCCGAAAGAAGGGAUGGAGGGCGAAGCACGCACUGACAGAGAGCUAGCUGUUGAGCUUAGGAUGUUGAAGAAGAAGGUUAGGAAGCUUGAAGAUCAAGCACUACCAAUACCCAUUUGCAAAUACUUUUGGGCAUUUGUAGGUAUGGUAAUCGCACUGGUUGUAAUGUUGAAAAUGUAUGGAAAGGCAUGAAUUAUGGAGGAAUUUGUAAUCUUGAAAUUGUUUGAGAAAUCCACCUAGUUUAAAUGUUGGUUAAAGUUGUUUAAAGGUUGUUUAAAUGUUGAAACAAAAAGAGAAGAAGUGACCAACAUUUAA